rnacentral:misc_RNA from 1 species
UACAGAGACCCCAAGCGUUGUCCGGAAUCAUUGGGCGUAAAGGGUGCGUAGGCGGCAUGGUUAGUCGUGUGUUAAAACUCGGAGCUUAACUCCGAGCUCGCGCACGAAACGGCCAAGCUUGAAGAUGUGAGAGGUGUGUGGAACUCAUGGUGUAGGGGUGAAAUCCGUUGAUAUCAUGGGGAACACCAAAGGCGAAGGCAACACACUGGCACAUUCUUGACGCUGAUGCACGAAACCCUGGGUAGCGAAAGGG